AAAAUCGUCUUAUUAUGUAAGACCUUAUCGGUCCACUCAAGAAUUUCCACGGGUACCUCCUGAUAGGUCAUAUCAGCCUUUAUGUGUACCUCAUCGCAUGGAAUAACAUGAGAAGGAUCAGGGUGGUACUUAUUGAGCAUCCAAACAUGAAAGACAUCAUGCAGACAUGCGAACUCUCAGGAUAGAGUGAGGCAGUAUGUCAUGGGUCCAAUGUACUCAUGAUCAGAAAAGGUCCCACAUAACGAGGGCUAAACUUCUCUCUCUUCUCAAACUGCACCUUGCCUUUAUAGGGUUAGACUUUUAGGAAAACUUGAUCUCCCACGGUAAACUUCAAGGGUUGCCCAUGAUUAUCAAUGUAACUCUUUUGGCGACUCU
rnacentral:lncRNA from 1 species